rnacentral:rRNA from 1 species
UGGGGAAUCUUGCGCAAUGGGCGAAAGCCUGACGCAGCAACGCCGCGUGGAGGAAGAAGGCCUUCGGGUUGUAAACUCCUGUCAGGGGGGAAGAAGGCACCUGGGUUAAUAGCCCAAGGGCUGACGGUACCCCCAGAGGAAGCCACGGCUAACUACGUGCCAGCAGCCGCGGUAAUACGUAGGUGGCGAGCGUUGUCCGGAAUUAUUGGGCGUAAAGCGCGCGUAGGCGGCUUGUCAGGUCCGACGUGAAAUCCCGGGGCUCAACCCCGGACGUGCGUCGGAAACCGGCUUGCUUGAGUCUGGGAGAGGGAAGUGGAAUUCCUGGUGUAGCGGUGAAAUGCGCAGAUAUCAGGAGGAACACCGGUAGCGAAGGCUGCUUCCUGGAACAGUACUGACGCUGAGGCGCGAAAGCUAGGGGAGCGAACAGG